rnacentral:rRNA from 1 species
CGUAGCUGCCUAAAUAUUCUAAAGGCACAAAAUUCCAUCUGAUACUGGAAGCGAAGCAGGGUCAACUCUGUUUAGUACUUGGUUAGGAGACUGGCAGUGAAUACCAGACGCUGUUGGAA